rnacentral:rRNA from 1 species
UACGUAGGUGGCAAGCGUUGUCCGGAAUUAUUGGGCGUAAAGCGCGCGCAGGCGGUCCUUUAAGUCUGAUGUGAAAGCCCACGGCUCAACCGUGGAGGGUCAUUGGAAGCUGGGGGACUUGAGUACAGAAGAGAAGAGUGGAAUUCCACGUGUAGCGGUGAAAUGCGUAGAGAUGUGGAGGAACACCAGUGGCGAAGGCGACUCUUUGGUCUGUAACUGACGCUGAGGCGCGAAAGCGUGGGGAGCAAACAGG